GGAGGCAUAGCUCAGCUGGUUAGAGCGUUCGCUUCACAUGCGAGAGGUCCUGGGUUCGAGCCCCUGUGUCUCCACCA
rnacentral:tRNA from 2 species